rnacentral:rRNA from 1 species
GACGAACGCUGGCGGCGUGCCUAACACAUGCAAGUCGAGCGAGAGACUUCGGUCUCUAGCGGCGGACGGGUGAGUAACACGUGGGUAACCUGCCUCAUAGAGGGGGAUAGCCUUCCGAAAGGAAGAUUAAUACCGCAUAACAUAGUUUAGUCGCAUGACUAGAUUAUCAAAGGAGUAAUCCGCUAUGAGAUGGACCCGCGGCGCAUUAGCUAGUUGGUGAGGUAACGGCUCACCAAGGCGACGAUGCGUAGCCGACCUGAGAGGGUGAUCGGCCACAUUGGAACUGAGAUACGGUCCAAACUCCUACGGGAGGCAGCAGUGGGGAAUAUUGCACAAUGGGCGAAAGCCUGAUGCAGCAACGCCGCGUGAGUGAUGAAGGCCUUCGGGUUGUAAAGCUCUGUCUUUGGGGACGAUAAUGACGGUACCCAAGGAGGAAGCCACGGCUAACUACGUGCAGCAGCCGCCGUAAAAC